GUCGAACGGCAGCACGGGUGCUUGCACCUGGUGGCGAGUGGCGAACGGGUGAGUAAUACAUCGGAACAUGUCCUGUAGUGGGGGAUAGCCCGGCGAAAGCCGGAUUAAUACCGCAUACGAUCUACGGAUGAAAGCGGGGGACCUUCGGGCCUCGCGCUAUAGGGUUGGCCGAUGGCUGAUUAGCUAGUUGGUGGGGUAAAGGCCCACCAAGGCGACGAUCAGUAGCUGGUCUGAGAGGACGACCAGCCACACUGGGACUGAGACACGGCCCAGACUCCUACGGGAGGCAGCAGUGGGGAAUUUUGGACAAUGGGCGAAAGCCUGAUCCAGCAAUGCCGCGUGUGUGAAGAAGGCCUUCGGGUUGUAAAGCACUUUUGUCCGGAAAGAAAUCCUGAGGGCUAAUAUCCUUCGGGGAUGACGGUACCGGAAGAAUAAGCACCGGCUAACUACGUGCCAGCAGCG
rnacentral:rRNA from 1 species